rnacentral:tRNA from 1 species
CGGGUGUGGCGAAGUUUGGUAUCGCACUUGACUGGGGGUCAAGGGGCCGCAGGUUCAAGUCCUGUCACUCCGACCA